GAGCCCAAACCAGAAACUUGUUUCUGGGGUUGUGGAUAGAUCAUAAAAGAAGAGGUAUCUUAAUCGAAGAGGGCUGGAACGCCCUACCAUAGAAGGUAAUAGUCCUGUAGGUAAAAAGAGAAAACUUCGAGAUCUAAUCCAGAGUACCACGAGACACGUGAAACCUUGUGGGAAGCAGGGAGGACCACCUCCCAAGGCUAAAUACUACCUAGUGACCGAUAGUGAAGCAGUACCGUGA
rnacentral:rRNA from 1 species